GACGAACGCUGGCGGCGUGCCUAAUACAUGCAAGUAGAACGCACAGUUUAUACCGUAGCUUGCUACACCAUAGACUGUGAGUUGCGAACGGGUGAGUAACGCGUAGGUAACCUGCCUGGUAGCGGGGGAUAACUAUUGGAAACGAUAGCUAAUACCGCAUAAUAUUAAUUAUUGCAUGAUAAUUAAUUGAAAGGUGCAAUUGCACCACUACCAGAUGGACCUGCGUUGUAUUAGCUAGUAGGUGAGGUAACGGCUCACCUAGGCGACGAUACAUAGCCGACCUGAGAGGGUGAUCGGCCACACUGGGACUGAGACACGGCCCAGACUCCUACGGGAGGCAGCAGUAGGGAAUCUUCGGCAAUGGACGAAAGGCUGACCGAGCAACGCCGCGUGAGUGAAGAAGGUUUUCGGAUCGUAAAGCUCUGUUGUAAGAGAAGAACGGGUGUGAGAGUGGAAAGUUCACACUGUGACGGUAUCUUACCAGAAAGAGACGGCUAACUACGUG
rnacentral:rRNA from 1 species